CCCGCUGAACUUAAGCAUAUCAAUAAGCGGAGGAAAAGAAACUAACAAGGAUUCCCCUAGUAACUGCGAGUGAAGCGGGAAAAGCUCAAAUUUAAAAUCUGGCGGUCUCUGGCCGUCCGAGUUGUAAUCUAGAGAAGUGAUGCCUGCGCUGGACCGUGUACAAGUCUCCUGGAAUGGAGCGUCAUAGAGGGUGAGAAUCCCGUCUCUGACACGGACUACCAGGGCUUUGUGGUACGCUCUCAAAGAGUCGAGUUGUUUGGGGAUGCAGCUCAAAAUGGGUGGUAAAUUCCAUCUAAAGCUAAAUAUUGGCGAGAGACCGAUAGCGAACAAGUACCGUGAGGGAAAGAUGAAAAGAACUUUGAAAAGAGAGUUAAACAGUGCGUGAAAUUGUUGAAAGGGAAACGUUUGAAGUCAGUCGCGUCGUCCGAGACUCAGCCUCGCCUCGGCUUGGUGUACUUCCUGUUCAUUGGGUCAACAUCAGUUUUGGUCAGUGGAAAAAGGUUCAGGGAAUGUGGCUCUUUCGGGAGUGUUAUAGCCUUGGAUCAUAUACAUUGACUGGGACUGAGGAACUCAGCACGCCGCAAGGCCGGGUUUUUAACCACGUUCGUGCUUAGGAUGUUGGCAUAAUGGCUUUAAUCGACCCGUCUUGAAACACGG
rnacentral:rRNA from 1 species